CAGCAGACACCCAGAGUCCUCCCAGGGCUAGGAGUUCGAGUCCUCCGUCCGGCUGUGAGGCCCUUGGAUACAGGCCCACAGCCAGCGAACCUGCCUCUCGUUUCCUCAGCGGAGGGGUUUUCUUCAGAGGAAGCGAGGGAGGGGGGAAAGACCCCAUUGUGUGCGCCGCCAGGGAAUGAUUGAGAAAGCCGAAAGACGACCUCGCCAUGCGUCUCUGCACACCGGUGGCGCAGUCAGCGAAGCCAUCCUUUGCCACCUCUUUCUCUGAGGUGUUAAUUGGGACGGAGAGGGGUUGCGUCUGCCUGCCUCUCUCUGGGUAAGGACUGGAGCAGCUGGCAGAAGAACAGAAGUGAGAAAUGACGCCAGGAACUGGAGGGAGGGGACCGGGUGCAGGUGACGGGGACAGCCAGCGCACAGGAAGCAGCACCUGAGCUCAGCGAUGUGUUGGAGGGGGGGUUGUGUGUGUGUGUGUGCCACAGAGCUACGGAGUCAGAGGUUACCCAAAGACCAUCUAACCCAGCCCCGACAAGGUGUAUUCCAGUUGCUAGUCCUCAGGACUGGAAGUGGUGGCUUAAAAAGCGUGCAGGUAUAUGGGGAGCUGGACGCAGGUGGUGCUGUGGGUUAAACCACAGAGCCUAGGGCUUGCCGAUCAGAAGGUCGGCAGUUCGAAUCCCCACGACGGGGUGAGCUCCCGUUGCUCGGUCCCUGCUCCUGCCAACCUAGCAGUUCGAAAGCACGUCCAAGUGCAAGUAGAUAAAUAGGUACCGCUCUGGUGGGAAGGUAAACGGCGUUUCCGUGCGCUGCUCUGGUUCGCCAGAAGCGGCUUAGUCAUGCUGGCCACAUGACCCGGAAGCUGUACACCGGCUCCCUUGGCCAGUAAAGCGAGAUGAGCGCCGCAACCCCAGAGUCGGCCACGACUGGACCUAAUGGUCAGGGGUCCCUUUACCUUUAUAUGGGUUUCUUUGAUUUUCCGGAUGAAACUUCCAGCUGGAUGCUUGGCGCCGCUCACUGAGCUAAAAUGGAGAGAAUUGAGCAUAAUUUGGGAUAUCUAGAACCUCCAGGCACUUUUAAUGCAGUUUGGCAUUCCUUUGUUGUGAAGAAGAAGAAGAAGAAGAAGAAGAAGUUUUAUUUAUACCCCGCCCUCCCCAGCCAAGACCGGGCUCAGGGCGGCCAACACCAGGUAUAAAAACAAUUGAUUAAAAUACAACUUAAAAACAAGAUUAAAAUACAACAUUAAAAUGCAGCCUCAUUUCAGUAGAAACUCAAAACUUUUGGGGGAUGAAAACGUCAAAUCUUCACCAAGGACGACUAUCCAGACUGGUCCUACGUGGGCCAGAAAAAAGCCAGGGAAGUCCCCAAAUAGGAGUUCCAUCACAGAAGGAGAAAGGAAAGGGGGAGGGGGAUCAAGUGGAUUCCAAGCCAAAGGCCAGGCGGAACAACUCUGUCUUACAGGCCCUGCGGAAAGAAGUAAGAUGCAAUGGAACCAUCAUUUUUGAUCACAAACCUGGCAGAUCUGGAAGUAUACUGCCCAGUCGGAUAACGCUAAUAUUAUUUAUUUGGACUUUCCUCACUUUAACCACAUGGAACCGCUUAUUGCCCGUGUCAUAGUUUUGCCUUUACCUUCUAAUUUCCACCUGCUGUUAUAACUGCUCUCUCUCUGUUGUGUAUGCGUUAUGAAAUAAAAUAAAAAUCUUUACAAAAAACAGGAGCGACUUCAAUGGCUUCCUGGGCUCACCCUCAUAACUAGGAAAUCAGGGGUGAUAUACUAGGCAAAUGAAGCAGGUCUGCUUAAUAUGCAUUUUUUAAAAAGUCACAAAGAUUGUUGCCCUCCCAACACAUCUUCCCAAGUCCAGUUGAUCAUGCCUCUGUAUUCCAGUAGUUGGGAACUAUAGUGUGUUCUUGCGCCCGGGUCCUGCUUUCAGGUUUUCCACAGGGAUCUGGUCGGCCACUGGGAAAAUAGGAUGCUGGACUAGACAGGCCCCACUGGAUUGAUCCAGGAAGUCUCUUCUGAUAUACUCAUGGAAGGAUCAGCAUUAAGGCUGUGUACACAUUUUAUUUUAUUUAUUUAUUACAUCGAUAUACCACCUUUUUAGUCCAAGGAGCUCAAGGUUCUCCCCUGCCCGCUAUUUCAUCCUCUCUUUAAAAAAAUAAAAUUUUUAAAUAAAAUAUUCAUUUUUCUCUUUCAUUCAUUACAUACAUCUCAAUUUCUUAGCAUUUAUUAUAUAUUCCUCCCUCCCUCCCCUCCAGGGCUUCCCUCAACUUCCGCUUCCGGUUUGAUUCUGUUUUCACCCACUUUGCUAUCUCCUAACAGAAAAAGUUAUUAAUAACAUAACAUCAAGCCUAAAAACCUAAAAAUAAAAGUAAAUACACAAUAAUAUUUCACUAUUAUCUAAACAUUUUCUCAUACUAAUAAUGUGGAUGUUUAUUUAAACCCUGCCAUCAAGCCUAUUGACUUUAUUUGUUUCUGCAAAUAUAAUAUAAAUGGUUCCCAUUCUUUUACAAAGCCUCUGUUGUCUUUUUCUCUUAGUCUUUCUGCCAUUUUUGCCAGUUCUGCAUAGUUCAUCAACUUCUCUUGCCAUUGUUCUUUAACUGGUAUAUCUCCAGUCUUCCAAUUUUGUGCAAUCAACGUUCUUGCUGCUGUACAUCGCUAUUUCAUCCUCUCAACAACCUUGUGAGGUAGGUUAGGCUGGAAAAUGGUGUCUAACCAUUGCACCGCACCCUGCACCUUUAAAGUGCCCCCGGCAGAGUUAAACUUCCCAGCAACCCGCAACAAACUACAUUGUCCAGAAUUCUUUGAGGGAAGAAAUGUGCUUUCUGGAUGUGUACAGGGCCCAAUGGCCCAGGAAAAGGAAAUUUGGGCUUUCAAGAGCCUAUCUCCCUUUUCUGCCACGUGCAACCCCACCCCGGUUUUUAUUUUUAUUUAGCCCGCUUGCCCCAAAUAUGUCACCAACCCCACAAGCGCUCGCUUCAUCUGAAACAGCCACUCCCUGAGACGCAGGGCUCUCAUUUCCCAGACACCCGGCAACGGCUGCGUGCAAAUCUUCCGACACUUUUGUGGUUUUUAAUUAAAAAAUAACAACAGGCAUUUCUGAGUGCUGGCGAGAAGAGCGCUCUUUGUAAUUAGGCGGUUUGUUUGUUUUUUGAAAAAUUAUUUGCGUAGCUAUUCCGUUGCCUUAAUUUCCAAUGCAAGCUUGCCCUAAUAGCCUUAAUGCUUUGGGAAAAAAUAAAGCCUACUUGUGAUGUUAAGGUCCUGAUUGGUUGCCACCUCGGCCUUAACACACACACACACACACACACACACACACACACACACACUCAUCUACUGUUAUAACUGCUCUCUCUGUUGUGUAUAUGCAUUAUAAAAUAAAAUUAAAAAUCUUUUUUAAAAAACCGGGAGUGACUUCAAUGGCUUUCGUAGUUCCUGGGUUCACCCGCAUAAUUAGCAAAGUAGGGGUGGGACUAUGAAGUAAAGGUAAAGGGACCCCUGACCAUUAGGUCCAGUCGUGGCUGACUCUGGGGUUGCGGCGCUCAUCUCGCUUUAUUGGCCGAGGGAGCCGGCGUCCAGCUUCCGGGUCAUGUGGCCAGCAUGACUAAGCCGCUUCUGGCGAACCAGAGCAGCGCAUGGAAACACCGUUUACCUUCCCACCGGAGCGGUACCCGUUUAUCUACUUGUAAUGGGGUGCUUUCGAGCUGCUAGAUUGGCAGGAGCAGGGACUGAGCAACGGGCGCUCACCCCAUUGCGGGAUUCGAACCGCCAACCUUCUGAUCGGCAAGUCCUAGGCUCUGUGGUUUAACCCACAGCGCCACCCACGUCCCUGGACUAUGAAGUAAGUCUGCUUAAUAUACAAAAAAUAAAAAAUAAAAGUCACGAGGAUAUAUAUAUAUAUAAUCAGUCAGAACCCAGCCCUGAAAAUCUUUCGGGGAAAUCACAUCUGCCAGGCACAAUCCUUCUGCUUCUCCUCUCCUGUCUCGGGCACCUUUGCCAAAUCCUCAGUUCAUCUCGAUCUCCUGGCUUCCAAGGAACCUGUUUAUUGAGCAUUCAUCCUGAUUUGUCACAGCACCAGACCUCCCAAUCUUCUAUAUCUUUUGGAAAGCAGUUUUGCCAUCCGUCCAUCUGUUCCUCUGGGGGUUCAGACGCCUCUCCAGAGAUUGCUGCCAAACUUGGGGGUUCCUGAGGUUUGGGGGUGGGGGGCAGUGGUCUUCGUCAAUGUUUGGCUGUUAGGCACCAAUCAUGUCUUUGGUGUGACUUUAUCCAAUUUUUGGCGUGAUGAGUUCAAACUCACAAUUCGCACUAUAUGUUUAAAAAUCACAAUAUUUUUUGGCUUCUGAAAGUUCCCACGCAGUUGGUUGACAAUAACUGCACACCCUGAAUUUGUGACUGGAUCGUAGCUGUCAACGUUUCACUUUUUUAAAGGGAAAUUUCCUUAUUCUGAAUAGGAUUCCUCGCAAGAAAAGGGAAAAGUUGACAGCUAUGGACUGGAUCCCACCACAACACAGUGAUGUUGCAAGGCCCUUUCGGUUUUCAUCUCAGCUCCUGCCUCCGUAACCCAUCGAUUAUGUUCAAUCUGGACUUGGCAAUGGGGUCCCCUGCUGCCCCCUUGGUAGCCAGAAUUCUGUGGGGUGAACCCCACACUUGUAGGACUGGCUUCUGAUGAAGGGAUUGGGGGGUAGAUUAAGUUCCAUUUGCAUUUGACAGGGGGAACCUACAAAAUUCACACUUCCCGAAGCGUUUCGCACUUCCCGGAAUGCCACCUCCAAAAAAUUCUCCGAAUGUUGCAACUCAGUUCUCCAGCUGAGCAAUGGGUGCAAAAAUUCACACACGAGGGUAGAAGUGUGCAAAUAAACACACCCACUCAUCAGAGCGACGUACCAAAUCAAGAGGAAACGGCUUGCAAAAAUGCGUUCACAACUCAAAGCUGCGUCCGGAAAGGUGUCGAAUGGGGGAAAGUCAUAGAAUCAUAGAAUCAUAGAGUUGGAAGAGACCACAAGGGCCAUCGAGUCCAACCCCCUGCCAAGCAGGAAACACCAUCAGAGCACUCCUGACAUAUGGUUGUCAAGCCUCUGCUUAAAGACCUCCAAAGAAGGAGACUCCACCACACUCCUAGGCAGCAAAUUCCACUGUCGAACAGCUCUUACUGUCAGGAAGUUCUUCCUAAUGUUUAGGUGGAAUCUUCUUUCUUGUAGUUUGGAUCCAUUGCUCCGUGUCCGCUUCUCUGGAGCAGCAGAAAACAACCUUUCUCCCUCCUCUAUGUGACAUCCUUUUAUAUAUUUGAACAUGGCUAUCAUAUCACCCCUUAACCCUUAAGUCUCGCUAAAACAACGCUGGUGAACUUUCACGAGGAUAAUUUUAACGGAGAGUUGCGAGUUGCUGAAGAAAUACGAAGAACUGGAUUUAAAAGAUCAGGAAAGGGAGAGCGAACUUGAUAGAUCCCCUCCUGAAUCUACAACAAUUUUAUCCCUUCCCUACAGCCUCCAAGCUCUCAGAGGCAGGUCUUAGUCCUCGUCCCCAGGAGCUUGCGGGAAUUUUCAGCUGAUUCGAAGCGCCCACAUUUUCCCUCCCUGAAAAAGAGAAAGAAGCAGUGACAGAUUGCAGAAGGCGGUUUCAUUUGGGGUGGAGGAGUUGAAAUCGUCCCUCCCGCGCUGUUGGAAACCUGUGUGUUCAGCAAACCUCGGGAACAAUGGACCCCGUCUAUCAACUAUCUGGCGGUGGCGUGGUCAGGACAGGAGGAGUGGACAGGCAGGGGGGGUUCCUAGAAACCAACUUUUAUUAAAAG